UACGUAGGGGGGCUAGCGUUGUCCGGAAUCAUUGGGCGUAAAGCGCGUGUAGGCGGUCCGGUAAGUCCGCUGUGAAAGUCGAGGGCUCAACCUCGAAUGCCGGUGGAUACUGUCGGGCUUGAGUACGGGAGAGGCGAGUGGAAUUCCUGGUGUAGCGGUGAAAUGCGCAGAUAUCAGGAGGAACACCGAUUGCGAAGGCAGCUCGCUGGAACGUUACUGACGCUGAGACGCGAAAGCGUGGGGAGCAAACAGG
rnacentral:rRNA from 1 species